CUACAGUUCCAUUUUAUUGCAAAUUACAACGUACUGAUUUAGUAUUCCGCGUUAUCAACGUUUUAACCCAAUUAAAUGGAUUUAUAAUCAUACGUGAUGCAUGUGCAGAAGACUAACUAACAGUUCCAGCUUCUGUGAUCACCCCUUCUUUCAAAAAAUAUAUACUAUCGUUCGUAUUUUUCACUUUUUAUCUUUACGAUACGCUAAGGUUCAGAAUAAAAUACGAAGUAGUUGUAUUAAUUGGUUUACUGAAUCGCC
rnacentral:misc_RNA from 1 species